AACGAACGCUGGCGGCAUGCCUAACACAUGCAAGUCGAACGAGACCUUCGGGUCUAGUGGCGCACGGGUGCGUAACGCGUGGGAACCUGCCCUUAGGUUCGGAAUAACUCCCCGAAAGGGGUGCUAAUACCGGAUAAUGUCUUCGGACCAAAGAUUUAUCGCCUUUGGAUGGGCCCGCGUUGGAUUAGCUAGUUGGUAGGGUAAAAGCCUACCAAGGCGACGAUCCAUAGCUGGUCUGAGAGGAUGAUCAGCCACACUGGGACUGAGACACGGCCCAGACUCCUACGGGAGGCAGCAGGGGGGAAUAUUGGACAAUGGGCGAAAGCCUGAUCCAGCAAUGCCGCGUGAGUGAUGAAGGCCUUAGGGUUGUAAAGCUCUUUUACCCGGGAUGAUAAUGACAGUACCGGGAGAAUAAGCUCCGGCUAACUCCGUG
rnacentral:rRNA from 1 species